CUUCGGGAACUCUGAGACACGUGCUGCUUGGCUGUCGUCAGCUCGUGUUGUGAAAUGUUGGGUUAAGUCCCGCAAACGAGCGCAACCCUUAUCCUUUGUUGCCAGCGGUCCGGCCGGGAACUCAAAGGAGACUGCCAGUGAUAAACUGGAGGAAGGUGGGGAUGACGUCAAGUCAUCAUGGCCCUUACGAGUAGGGCUACACACGUGCUACAAUGGCGCAUACAAAGAGAAGCGACCUCGCGAGAGCAAGCGGACCUCAUAAAGUGCGUCGUAUCCGGAUUGGAGUCUGCAACUCGACUCCAUGAAGUCGGAAUCGCUAGUAAUCGUAGAUCAGAAUGCUACGGUGAAUACGUUCCCGGGUC
rnacentral:rRNA from 1 species